UGGGGAAUAUUGGACAAUGGGCGCAAGCCUGAUCCAGCCAUGCCGCGUGAGUGAUGAAGGCCCUAGGGUUGUAAAGCUCUUUCACCGGUGAAGAUAAUGACGGUAACCGGAGAAGAAGCCCCGGCUAACUUCGUGCCAGCAGCCGCGGUAAUACGAAGGGGGCUAGCGUUGUUCGGAUUUACUGGGCGUAAAGCGCGCGUAGGCGGUUUUUUAAGUCUGAUGUGAAAGCCCACGGCUCAACCGUGGAGGGUCAUUGGAAACUGGAAAACUUGAGUGCAGAAGAGGAAAGUGGAAUUCCAUGUGUAGCAGUGAAAUGCGCAGAGAUAUGGAGGAACACCAGUGGCGAAGGCGACUUUCUGGUCUGUAACUGACGCUGAUGUGCGAAAGCGUGGGGAUCAAACAGG
rnacentral:rRNA from 1 species